UCCAGAGGGGGCAAGCGUUGUUCGGAAUUACUGGGCGUAAAGGGCGCGUAGGCGGCCUUCUAAGUCGGACGUGAAAUCCCCGGGCUCAACCCGGGAACUGCGUUCGAGACUGGAAGGCUCGAAUCCGGGAGAGGGAUGUGGAAUUCCAGGUGUAGCGGUGAAAUGCGUAGAUAUCUGGAGGAACACCGGUGGCGAAGGCGGCAUCCUGGACCGGUAUUGACGCUGAGGCGCGAAAGCGUGGGGAGCAAACAGG
rnacentral:rRNA from 1 species